AUUGAACGCUGGCGGCAGGCCUAACACAUGCAAGUCGAGCGGAUGAAGGGAGCUUGCUCCUGGAUUCAGCGGCGGACGGGUGAGUAAUGCCUAGGAAUCUGCCUGGUAGUGGGGGAUAACGUCCGGAAACGGGCGCUAAUACCGCAUACGUCCUGAGGGAGAAAGUGGGGGAUCUUCGGACCUCACGCUAUCAGAUGAGCCUAGGUCGGAUUAGCUAGUUGGUGGGGUAAAGGCUAACCAAGGCGACGAUCCGUAACUGGUCUGAGAGGAUGAUCAGUCACACUGGAACUGAGACACGGUCCAGACUCCUACGGGAGGCAGCAGUGGGGAAUAUUGGACAAUGGGCGAAAGCCUGAUCCAGCCAUGCCGCGUGUGUGAAGAAGGUCUUCGGAUUGUAAAGCACUUUAAGUUGGGAGGAAGGGCAGUAAGUUAAUACCUUGCUGUUUUGACGUUACCAACAGAAUAAGCACCGGCUAACUUCGUG
rnacentral:rRNA from 1 species